AGUAGCGAAGUUCCUGAUGUCACACUGCCAAGAAAAGCUUCUAGUGAGAAAGUAACUGCCCGUACCGCAAACCGACACAGGUAGUUGAGGAGAGAAUCCUAAGGUGUGCGAGAGAACUCUCGUUAAGGAACUCGGCAAAAUGACCCCGUAACUUCGGGAGAAGGGGUGCUGACCGCAAGGUCAGCCGCAGUGAAUAGGCCCAAGCGACUGUUUAUCAAAAACACAGGUCUCUGCAAAAUCGAAAGAUGACGUAUAGGGGCUGACGCCUGCCCGGUGCUGGAAGGUUAAGAGGAGAGGUUAGCGCAAGCGAAGCUUUGAAUUGAAGCCCCAGUAAACGGCGGCCGUAACAAUAACGGUCCUAAGGUAGCGAAAUUCCUUGUCGGGUAAGUUCCGACCCGCACGAAAGGCGUAACGAUUUGGGCACUGUCUCAACGAGAGACUCGGUGAAAUUAUAGUACCAGUGAAGAUGCUGGUUACCCGCGACAGGACGGAAAGACCCCAUGGAGCUUUACUGCAGUCUGAUAUUGCGUGUUUGUAUCACAUGUACAGGAUAGGUAGGAGCCGAAGAUACCGGGACGCCAGUCUCGGAGGAGGCAACGGUGGGAUACUACCCUUGUGAUAUGACCACUCUAACCCGCUGCUCUUAGCGAGCAGGGAGACAGUGUCAGACGGGCAGUUUGACUGGGGCGGUCGCCUCCAAAAAUGUAACGGAGGCGCCCAAAGGUUCCCUCAGAAUGGUUGGAAAUCAUUCGUAGAGUGUAAAGGCAGAAGGGAGCUUGACUGCGAGACCUACAAGUCGAGCAGGGACGAAAGUCGGGCUUAGUGAUCCGGUGGUUCCGCAUGGAAGGGCCAUCGCUCAACGGAUAAAAGCUACCCUGGGGAUAACAGGCUUAUCUCCCCCAAGAGUUCACAUCGACGGGGAGGUUUGGCACCUCGAUGUCGGCUCAUCGCAUCCUGGGGCUAGUCGGUCCCAAGGGUUGGGCUGUUCGCCCAUUAAAGCGGUACGCGAGCUGGGUUCAGAACGUCGUGAGACAGUUCGGUCCCUAUCCGUCGCGGGCGUUGGAAAUUUGAGAGGAGCUGUCCUUGGUACGAGAGGACCGGGAUGGACACACCGCUGGUGUACCAGUUGUUCUGCCAAGAGCAUCGCUGGGUAGCUAUGUGUGGACGGGAUAAACGCUGAAAGCAUCUAAGCGUGAAGCCCCCCUCAGGAUGAGAUUUCCCAUCACUU
rnacentral:rRNA from 1 species